GCAAACUUGGUCAUUUAGAGGAAGUAAAAGUCGUAACAAGGUCUCCGUUGGUGAACCAGCGGAGGGAUCAUUACCGAGUCAUCACGCUCAAGCCCCCUGUGAACCUUACCGCGUCGUUGCCUCGGCGGGGGAUUCGUCCCCCGGCGCCGUCCGGGACGGGCGCCCCCGCCUGAGGACACAAAAACUCUUGUUCCCGCACGGCGGCAUCGUCUGAGUUAGUGGCAUUAGCGAAUGAAUCAAAACUUUCAACAACGGAUCUCUUGGUUCUGGCAUCGAUGAAGAACGCAGC
rnacentral:misc_RNA from 1 species